UUAAACUAUAAAUAAAAAUUAAUUUUUUUAAUUAAAAUAAAAUAGAGAUAAUUGUAUUUGUUUAAUAAUUUAUUAUUUGGUGGUGAAAUAUUAAAUAUAUAAGAAAUUAAAUAAAUAAAAAUAGUUUAUUUUAAAAAGUUAUGGUAUUAAACUAGGAUUAGAUACCCUAUUAUAGUAAUAAAAUUAUUAUUAAUUAAAGUAUUAAAUGGUAAAUCAUUAAAUUUAUAAGAUUUGGCGGUUUUUCAUUCAAAUUAGGGGAACUUGUAUAGUAAUUGAUAGUCCACGAUAGGAGGAACUUAAUUAGAUACUUAUGUAUUGCUGUUUUUAAAUUUAUUUUGAGAAUAUAGUUAUAAUUUAUAUUUAGUUAAUAAAUUCAAGUCAAAAUAUAGUGUAGUUAAGAUUUUUAUGAGUUACAAUAAAAUAAAUUUGUUUAAUGAAUAAUUUUAUUUAAAUUAAAGUUUGAAAAUGGACUUAAUAGUAAAAUUAAUUAAUUAGUUAAUUUGAAAAGUUGUUUUGAAAU
rnacentral:rRNA from 1 species